rnacentral:SRP_RNA from 1 species
GUUUGGGUCUUACGCAACAGGAAUUUGUGAACCGUGUCAGGUCAGGAAUGAAGCAGCACUAAGCAAAAGCUCCUGUGUGCCGUAAGGCAACCUGGGCUGA